rnacentral:rRNA from 1 species
GAUGAACGCUGGCGGCAUGCCUAAUACAUGCAAGUCGAACGAGAGGAAGGAAAGCUUGCUUUCCUGAAUCUAGUGGCGAACGGGUGAGUAACACGUAGGUAACCUGCCCAUGUGCCCGGGAUAACUUCUGGAAACGGAUGCUAAAACCGGAUAGGUAGCAGACAAGCAUUUGACUGCUAUUAAAGUGGCCUUGGCCAUGAACAUGGAUGGACCUGCGGUGCAUUAGCUAGUUGGUGAGGUAACGGCCCACCAAGGCGACGAUGCAUAGCCGGCCUGGGAGGGCGGACGGCCACAGUGGGACUGAGACACGGCCCAAACUCCUACGGGAGGCAGCAGUAGGGAAUUUUCGUCAAUGGGGGGAACCCUGAACGAGCAAUGCCGCGUGAGUGAGGAAGGUCUUCGGAUCGUAAAGCUCUGUUGUAAGAGAAGAACGGCACUCAUAGGGAAUGAUGAGUGAGUGAUGGUAUCUUACCAGAAAGUCACGGCUAACUACGUGCCAGCCGCCGCCGUAA